GACGAACGCUGGCGGCGUGCUUAACACAUGCAAGUCGAACGGAAAGGCCCUGCUUUUGUGGGGUGCUCGAGUGGCGAACGGGUGAGUAACACGUGAGUAGCCUGCCCUUGACUUUGGGAUAACUUCAGGAAACUGGGGCUAAUACCGGAUAGGAGCUCCUGCUGCAUGGUGGGGGUUGGAAAGUUUCGGCGGUUGGGGAUGGACUCGCGGCUUAUCAGCUUGUUGGUGGGGUAGUGGCUUAUCAAGGCUUUGACGGGUAGCCGGCCUGAGAGGGUGACCGGCCACAUUGGGACUGAGAUACGGCCCAGACUCCUACGGGAGGCAGCAGUGGGGAAUAUUGCACAAUGGGCGGAAGCCUGAUGCAGCAACGCCGCGUGCGGGAUGACGGCCUUCGGGUUGUAAACCGCUUUCGCCUGUGACGAAGCGUGAGUGACGGUAAUGGGUAAAGAAGCACCGGCUAACUACGUG
rnacentral:rRNA from 1 species